rnacentral:snoRNA from 1 species
ACUGUCUGAAAAUCACCUCUCGCCCCUCUCCGUGGCCUUGGGUGAGAUAACGGUGCCCACAGCAAAGGGAGCAUUAAGCUUAUUGCCUUCUAGGGUGCAAGACGGGCAAUAAAACCCAUGUUCCUAUAUGU